rnacentral:lncRNA from 1 species
CUCGCAUUCCAGAAAACACAAAGCCCUGAGCCCCGGGGACUUUCUCUAAAAACACAGUUGGCCACGCCUCACUGAGUAAUUGGUGCUUCUUCAUUUUAACAAGACGGAUCAUCUGUACACCAGCCAGACCUCACCCCAACCCUAAAAGUAACCGUAACUGUAAAAAAUAUCCAACAAAGCUAGAUGUGAAAACUGGUAUGAGCUGUUAAAACAAGCAUAAUUCGGGGGGGUUUCAGGGACACUGGAGAGGGGGCAUCAUAUGAUCAUGUAGGUUUCUUAGGAAACGGAAGGACAUUGGAUUAUAUAGCUCAAGAGAAUUGGAGAAAACUUGGAGGGUUUCAGUAGGGACAGGACAUGAUUAUAUUUAAUUCAAAAAUGCCACCGUGGUUUGUAUCAGGCACAGAUUGCAGAGACCUAGUGCAGGACCAGAGGUGACAGAUGGGGUGAGGUGCACCCGGUUAUGUAGAUGGUGAUGUAUGGUAUUAAAAUGUGUGUAGUAGAAAAGAAGAAAGGCCGAUAAUUAAUUACCAUCAUCUCAAGAAGUUAGAAAAAUGUCAACAAGUGAGCAUCAAGAAGGAAAGAGUUGUAAAGAUUAGAGUGGCAAUUAACAAAAUAGAAAACAUCAUAAUAUAGAAAACCUGAAGAUGAGAAUAGUCAUUUGA